rnacentral:rRNA from 1 species
AACGAACGCUGGCGGCAUGCCUAACACAUGCAAGUCGAACGAAACCUUCGGGUCUUUGUGCGCACGGCUUCGUAACGCGUGGGAACCUUCCCGUAGGUUCGGAAUAACUCCCCGAAAGGUGUGCUAAUACCGGAUAAGGUCUUCGGACCAAAGAUUUAUUGCCUUUGGAUGGGCCCGCGUUGGAUUAGCUAGUUGGUAGGGUAAAAGCCUACCAAGGGGACGAUCCAUAGCUGGUCGGGGAGGAUGAUCAGCCACACUGGGACUGAGACCCGGCCCAGAAUCGUACGGGAGGCGGCAGUGGGGAAUCUUGGACCGCGGGCGAAAGCAUGAGCAAGCACUGCCGCGUGAGUGAUGAAGGCCGGAGGGAUGUAAAGCUCUUUUAACCGGGAUGGUAAUGACAGUACCGGGAGAAUAAGCCACGGCUAACUACGUG